rnacentral:rRNA from 1 species
UACGUAGGGUGCAAGCGUUGUCCGGAAUUAUUGGGCGUAAAGAGCUCGUAGGCGGUUUGUCACGUCUGCUGUGAAAACUCGGGGCUUAACUCCGGGCCUGCAGUGGGUACGGGCAGACUAGAGUGCGGUAGGGGAGACUGGAAUUCCUGGUGUAGCGGUGAAAUGCGCAGAUAUCGAGAGGAACACCUGCGGCGAAGGCGGGUUGCUGGGCUGACACUGACGCUGAUGCGCGAAAGCCAGGGGAGCGAACGGG